rnacentral:rRNA from 1 species
UAGGGAAUCUUCCGCAAUGGACGCAAGUCUGACGGAGCAACGCCGCGUGAGCGAAGAAGGUUUUCGGAUCGUAAAACUCUGUUGUUAGAGAAGAACAAGUGCUAGAGUAACUGUUAGCGCCUUGACGGUAUCUAACCAGAAAGCCACGGCUAACUACGUGCCAGCAGCCGCGGUAAUACGUAGGUGGCAAGCGUUGUCCGGAUUUAUUGGGCGUAAAGCGAGCGCAGGCGGUUCCUUAAGUCUGAUGUGAAAGCCCCCGGCUCAACCGGGGAGGGUCAUUGGAAACUGGGGAACUUGAGUGCAGAAGAGGAGAGUGGAAUUCCAUGUGUAGCGGUGAAAUGCGUAGAUAUAUGGAGGAACACCAGUGGCGAAGGCGACUCUCUGGUCUGUAACUGACGCUGAGGCUCGAAAGCGUGGGUAGCAAACAGGAUUAGAUACCCUGGUAGUCCACGCCGUAAACGAUGAGUGCUAAGUGUUGGAGGGUUUCCGCCCUUCAGUGCUGCAGUUAACGCAUUAAGCACUCCGCCUGGGGAGUACGACCGCAAGGUUG